rnacentral:lncRNA from 1 species
CGGCGGGCUCUCAGCCAUUUCAAGCGUGGCCACCGACGGGGUGGGUGCCACCACCUCUGGGGUGGCCACCACAACAGUACCCGUGGAUGCAUGCACAGCCUCCUCCUCACCAUGGAUCACAGGUGACGUUACAUGUUUAGUUUUAUGCAAAUAUUGACCAAACACAGCAAUGUAUAUGUAUACAGCCUUAUUUGAAUGAUUGAUGAAUUGCAGGGUUCAGCGUCACAUGCUCAUGGAUCGGAGGGUGGUGUCAACGUUCAAGACUUCCUCGUCCAUGGUGCUGGAGGGAGUGGCCACCUUCCUGGUGGCGGAGGAGGGAGUGGCCAAAACUCCCACAGCCCGCCGGAGUGAUCAGUGAGGAGUGAGUAGUGAGUAGUUAGUAGCUUAUGGACUUAUGGACCCUAAACUUAU